rnacentral:lncRNA from 1 species
AUGGUCAUGGUGUGCAGGAUGCAAAUCGAGUUCAGAUCCUGUCAUUGAAUCGCUGGUGCCAGCGGCUCUGCCCCCGCUCGCCGCACGCGCUUGCUCCGGUCUCGUCGCACGCGGUAUACUCCGCCGUGCCGAUGGGGCCUGCAGCGCCGCCUGCGCCGCUAGCUCCCGCCGAAUCAGCUUCGCGCAGACCCCGCGCCGGCACGGCUCGCGCUCGCCACUCGCCGCGCUCCGCACGUGUCGUGGCUCGCGCUCGCGGUGGAGAACCAACG